GAUGAACGCUGGCGGCGUGCCUAAUACAUGCAAGUCGAGCGAACAGACGAGGAGCUUGCUCCUCUGACGUUAGCGGCGGACGGGUGAGUAACACGUGGAUAACCUACCUAUAAGCCUGGGAUAACUUCGGGAAACCGGAGCUAAUACCGGAUAACAUGUUGAACCGCAUGGUUCAACAGUGAAAGACGGUUUUGCUGUCACUUAUAGAUGGAUCCGCGUCGCAUUAGCUAGUUGGUAAGGUAACGGCUUACCAAGGCAACGAUGCGUAGCCGACCUGAGAGGGUGAUCGGCCACACUGGAACUGAGACACGGUCCAGACUCCUACGGGAGGCAGCAGUAGGGAAUCUUCCGCAAUGGGCGAAAGCCUGACGGAGCAACGCCGCGUGAGUGAAGAAGGUCUUCGGAUCGUAAAACUCUGUUAUUAGGGAAGAACAAAUGUGUAAGUAACUAUGCACGUCUUGACGGUACCUAAUCAGAAAGCCACGGCUAACUACGUG
rnacentral:rRNA from 1 species